UACGAAGGGGGCUAGCGUUGCUCGGAAUCACUGGGCGUAAAGGGUGCGUAGGUGGAUUUUUAAGUCAGGGGUGAAAUCCUGGAGCUCAACUCCAGAACUGCCUUUGAUACUGGGAAUCUUGAGUUCGGGAGAGGUGAGUGGAACUGCGAGUGUAGAGGUGAAAUUCGUAGAUAUUCGCAAGAACACCAGUGGCGAAGGCGGCUCACUGGUCCGGUACUGACGCUGAGGUGCGAAAGCGUGGGAGCAACAGGGAU
rnacentral:rRNA from 1 species